AUUGAACGCUGGCGGCAUGCCUUACACAUGCAAGUCGAACGGCAGCAUGGAGAGCUUGCUCUCUGAUGGCGAGUGGCGAACGGGUGAGUAAUGCAUCGGAACGUACCGUGUAAUGGGGGAUAACGUAGCGAAAGUUACGCUAAUACCGCAUACGACCUGAGGGUGAAAGCAGGGGAUCGCAAGACCUUGCGUUAUACGAGCGGCCGAUGUCAGAUUAGCUAGUUGGUGAGGUAAAGGCUCACCAAGGCGACGAUCUGUAGCGGGUCUGAGAGGAUGAUCCGCCACACUGGGACUGAGACACGGCCCAGGCUCCUACGGGAGUCAGCAGUGGGGAAUUUUGGACAAUGGGGGAAACCCUGAUCCAGCCAUGCCGCGUGAGUGAAGAAGGCCUUCGGGUUGUAAAGCUCUUUCGGCCGGGAAGAAAUCGCACAGGCUAAUACUCUGUGUGGAUGACGGUACCGGCAUAAGAAGCACCGGCUAACUACGUGCCAGCCGCCGCAGUAA
rnacentral:rRNA from 1 species